GUAUGUGGUGUAGUGGUUUGAGUGUUAGACUAUGACUCUGGAAACCAGGGUUUGAUUCCCAGCUCAGCCA
rnacentral:tRNA from 1 species